rnacentral:rRNA from 1 species
CGACUAAGCGUACACGGUGAAUGCCCUGGCAGUCAGAGGCGAUGAAGGACGUGCUAAUCUGCGAAAAGCGUCGGUAAGGUGAUAUGAACCGUUACAGCCGGCGAUGUCCGAAUGGGGAAACCCAGUGCAAUUCGUUGCACUAUCGUUAACUGAAUACAUAGGUUAACGAGGCGAACCGGGGGAACUGAAACAUCUAAGUACCCCGAGGAAAAGAAAUCAACCGA